rnacentral:lncRNA from 1 species
CUUUUUGAUGGAACUUCGCAGUUAAGCAGUUCAAUUUUCUUUCUUUUUUUUGAUUUCUCUUUCGACAUAAUGCAAACAGUGAAAUUUUCAGUUUUAAAGUGAAUUAUAUGCAUUGCUUUUACUGUUUCUGAACUGAAUCAUCUGUGAGCUCAAUUAAAAAUUUGACAUAGAUAGUGAUUUAUAGUAAAUUACGACAUGAUUUAAUUGAUACUCCUAGCAUUUUGUAUUAGACUCAUCUUCCAGUUUGACUUGCCAAUAGAAAUACAUGGGGAUUGAUUACUAUAUUGCUAUACUCCAGGCAGACUCUCUUCUUUUGAAGUUUGACGGAGGAGAAGAAUUCGCACCUAUCAACAAAAUGACAAGCUCGCCAAGAUCUGUAGGUGGGAUGUAGGAAACUUUGUUUGUUAAUUACAGUGCAAAUACUGCUAGAACCUAUCUUAUGGGAAUUCUAAAAGAACGAUUAAUCAGUGGUUUCGUAAAAUAAUAUGAUGUGAUAAACAAAUUUUCACAUCAUCUCUUCCUACUCACUUUCUUUCUAUUACAUAAGAUGGGUUCAUCAGCAGUUUGUAUACUGGUAUGCAUGUCAUAUACAACUAUCAUCAGUUUAUGACAAUUAUCUCCGAAUCUCAUUUUUUCAAAGUCUACCAUCUCUACGUGGACUUCCUAAUUUCAGUCAGUAGAAGCCGUUUUCAGGAAUUUCUGGGUGUUUUCAAAUCUGUCUCCCUCAUCCCCUUUCCCAGUCCCACAUUUUUUUGAUCCCGUUAUGUAUUGCACGCGUAGUUUUUUCUACAAAAUGUAUGUAUUGCGCUACAGAUUGUUUGAAUAGUUGUGGCAGGAUUUUUGGAGGCUCGAGCUGGCAACAAGCACGGUGGAGUACCGUCUCUGUAUUUGUGCUUAUUGGAUUGUUUGGCAUUCCUUAUGGGGUAUUUAAUGCGAAUUCAUUAUCGGCCAUGGUUUCUCUAUUCUUUGGCAAAACCGUCAACCCGAGAAAGAUAGGAAGUUGAUAAUUCAUUUGAGAAAUUCAUAUUCUCUAAGGUUAUGUUUUUCUUAGCUUUAUUGGUUGUGUUUGCUUUAGGAACCCUGUUAACGUCAUGCCCAAACGCUUGUACGGUGAACAUUGUGUGAGAAUGAAUUGUACUUUCUAUUCGACUUUUUUUCUGCUGUAUCAUAUUCUUUCUGAUACAUAUUCCUCGCCCGGUUUUGGGAUGAUUUGGUUGGCAAUUUUUUUUACUUUUCUUAUCUUUUCUUGAUUAGGUGAAUGAAAAAACAAUAAAAGAUUUAUAAAAAAAAAUCACAAAUUCAAGUAAUCCAAAAAUUUGCAUGUCUUGCAACAAUUGUUCACCCCGUAACAUCGUUUUAUCUCAAAAAAAAAAUGUUUGAUAUAUGGCUUCUUUUGAAAAUUUUACUUAUUGUUAACUACUAGUAAUUGGCCCGUGUCCACGGUAUUUAUAUAAAAAAAAAAAUCACCUCUCAAGUGUAUCCGUUAGAGUUUUAAACAAUUUAAAAAUAAAUAAAAUAUAACUCAGAUAAAAAAAUAUAUUGUAUGUAUAUACGAAAAGAUACAUGCUUAGAUAUUUAGUACACAAUAAUUUUGAAAAACUUGUAGUUUGAAAAAAUGAGAAAAAAAAAAAAGAGGUGUGUUUUAGUUUUUUUAUUGUGGAUCCCACUAAAAAAUUAUUAUGUUCAGGUUUAGAGAUUGUUUGGUAAUGAAAUAAAAAUUUAUGUGGGUCCCACAAUUUUGAAAAAAAUGAAGUGAUAGGUUUUGGGCGGAAAAAAUAUUUAAGUGAAUUUUAGCUGUCAGAAUCAAUUCAAAUGGAUUUCAACCGUAGAUAGCGGGAGUUAGAUUGAGAUUAAAAUGAUUAUGGUUUUACAUUAUAGAUAUUUGAGAAGAUCCAUAGCAUUGAACACAAUAUUAAGUUUUACAAACUUAUUUUAGGUCAUAUGAGAGAAGGGAGGAGGGCAAAAAGGUCAAAUACUCUAGUGGCAAUUAUUUCAGGUCGAAUGUGGUGAAAAAAAGGUGAGGAAAAAAAGGUGACGUGGGGCGGGGGCAUGGAAGAGGGUUGAAAAAAAAACAAGGGUAACGCUAAUUUCUCAAAAAACCUAAAAAACUAUUUCAGAAAAAAUCAAGGUUUUAGAGUAAAAAGACCAAAAAAAAAGAGAAGACAAAUUGGUAUUAUUACUAUGAAAUAGUGAAUUUAAAUUUUUUAUUUUUAAAUUAUAUCUAAAAUUAGACCUCCAAUUUAAAGCUAUGUCAAUAUAUUUUUAAUGGAUCAAUUUCAAAAAAAAAAUUAACUGAAGUAACCAUAUGUUUACAAGUAACGCUGAGGUAUAUCUGUUUGUUUGUUUGUAGUUUAUGUACGCACACUCGCUCACACAGACACACACAUAUAUACACACAAACACACACAUCCAUUUAUACUUUUGUUUAGUUCUGUAAAUGCAUUUGUUUUCCAGUUACUGAGAGGGUAGUAGGAAGAUGAGGAUGAUACUGAUAUUUUCA